rnacentral:rRNA from 1 species
AGAUGGCGACCGGCGCACGGGUGAGUAACACGUAUCCAACCUGCCGAUAACUCGGGGAUAGCCUUUCGAAAGAAAUAUUAAUACCCGAUGGCAUAAUUAGACCGCAUGGUCUUAUUAUUAAAGAAUUUCGGUUAUCGAUGGGGAUGCGUUCCAUUAGGCAGUUGGUGAGGUAACGGCUCACCAAACCUUCGAUGGAUAGGGGUUCUGAGAGGAAGGUCCCCCACAUUGGAACUGAGACACGGUCCAA